rnacentral:snoRNA from 1 species
CCUCUGUGAAUCAGGAUGGCGUUAAACUGCUUUCCCCUCAGUCCUGGUAAUGUGCGGAGGUCGACAAAGGGCUCUGGUCUUCUCUGUGCCAUGCCUUUAGUACAGGUGGCUUCCAGUCCGUAAGUACUAACCUCGAGCACCCGGACAGCA